GUGAAAACAACAGGUGUCAUACUCUCCCAUGCCUAAGGAACGUAUAUAAAAACCUCAAGGCACAGAGGUACAGCACAGUCUUCCCUUGACGCAGAGACUCUUCACCUGAGUUCCUUUCGUUGGAAAAGCAGAUAUACACCCGCUGGAAAGAUGUCUUGUGAACGGAAUCAAUGCUACUCAACCUGUCCUCCCAUGAGUGUGACUAUUCAGCCACCACCCUUCACGCUGACCAUUCCAGGACCCUCCCUCUACUGCCCUGACCAACCACUUUGCAUUGAGCAGUACAACCCAUGUUCUCCAGCCAUUCAGGCCGUCCCCAGUUAUGGGUCCGUCUCUGCAGCGGGAGCCUCCAGUUCCAAGGUCACUGGAAUUUAUUCUCAGAAAUUCAUGCAGCAAAACCGUCCUUGCUACUGAUGCUGAACCCGACGGUCACAAUCCACAAAAGAAAAUCAAUAAAAUUAGAAAUCAAGGUUAACUCUAGAAAUGAAUUCUUGGUAUGUCCAGGUUCUUUCCAACUAGGCCCAUAAUGCAGAACUCCCACAGAACUCCAGUAUGGCUCCAACCAUUCUGGGACACAUCUCGAUACACAUCUUGAGUUCAUCGAAGGAUGCAAAUUUCUAGGCAUCACUGUGUCUCCAUAGGAACUGUAAGAUCUGGAAUGAUUAAGACUUUUGAGCAAGUUAUUCCUCAGGAAAGCACUUGUGCAAUUGUCAUGAAGAAAUGCUUUGUCAAGGUUUUGAAAGGCCCCAAGUUUCACUGGGCAGAGUUGGAAAACCACUGCUGUAGACUAGACUAUGUAAAAAGGGUGUGUGUGUUGUAUUUGAUGUUGCUCUUUUCUUUUCCCUGAAACAGUGGAUUUGUGCAUUCCUUCUAUUGCAAAAUAAAACCUUCACUUCGUCAAA